rnacentral:hammerhead_ribozyme from 1 species
AUCUAGCUAAUGAGUCCCAAAUAAGACCAAACGUGCGUCCUGGAU